CGCGAGCGGCCAGUUGGCCUGGGAUGGGGAGUCCUAGGGUGGAGAUCCGGGUCCCGCGCGCCCGCUCCGGCCUCCCGGAGGUGGCACCACCUUUCUCCGAGCCGAAGGGCGCGGACUCCUGUAGCUAUCCGAGCAUCUGUGCUAGAGCAGCUCCCACCCGUGAAGCGGGGUCCAUUUAGUCAGCGCCGGGUGCCCAGACACCUUUGAGGCCCGCGGUCAUGGUUGAAGUUAUUCUCGGUGGCUAUGAAAACAUAAGAAGACAGGGUGCCUGACCGUGGUGCUCUAACAUACUGGGACUAUGAAGGAUGGUCAAGAGAACCGCAGACUUGCCUACUGGGACCCUAUCAGACUGUGGGAUCAGCAACACAACAUCCCCACUUCCAUCUUUCUUGCUAGAAACCGCAUGCCAGUGUGACCUGCCCCCCACUGUCCUCCUAUUGAAAACACACGAACAAGCUCUUCUUGAACAGGGUGGAAUCUUACAGCGUUCCCCUUUCUUCUUGAACACAUAUUUUCAGUUACAGGAAAAGAAACCAAGACGGGGAUAUCUAUACAAACCACAGUGAAUACUUGAGGAGCCUGGGAAGAAGUGACCAAAGACGUAAGAGAAAACUCAGAAGAAAGCAGGGCCCCUGAGACUGAGUCAGGAGACUUUCUGGAAGGAGGAAGCUCACAUUGUACAAUGCCUCUGCAAUAACUGAGGAAAGAUGUGCUUAUAGACCUUGGGAAAAAGAAGAGAACCAGGAAUAUGGCCAGUGAGCAUCAAGACAGGAGCAUGGACACCGCUGGUUCAUACAUAGAAACCGGAGGAAAGAGGCAAAGCAGACUGGUGGUGUUGCCUCACUUCCCCAAGUGUAACCCCUGAGCCCCUGGUGAUCUGCUUUUGUGACCUGUGGAAUUUUCUGCCUAUUGUUUUAAUGCCUUGUGGCCUAUAUAUUGUGUGAUUUAUUUAUUUAUUUUUUUGGUACAGCUGUUUGUCUGUUUGUUUAGUGUGUUUGUACCUGUGAAGACACAGCACUAUGCCUAUGUGGGCAGAGGCCAGCUUGCAAGAGUGGGUUCUCUUUUUCCAUCAUGUGGGCCCUGGUGUUAGAUCACCAGGCUUGGCACCUGUACUG